CCUACGGGAGGCAGCAGUAGGGAAUCUUGCACAAUGGGGGAAACCCUGAUGCAGCAACGCCGCGUGAGCGAAGAAGGCCUUCGGGUCGUAAAGCUCUUUUCUGGGGGACGAGGAAGGACGGUACCUCAGGAAUAAGCCUCGGCUAACUACGUGCCAGCAGCCGCGGUAAGACGUAGGAGGCAAGCGUUAUCCGGAUUCAUUGGGCGUAAAGGGCAAGUAGGCGGUAACCUAAGUUGGGCGUGACAUCUCCCGGCUUAACUGGGAGGGGUCGUUCAAUACUGGGCUACUAGAGGGCAGGAGAGGGAAGUGGAAUUCCUAGUGUAGCGGUGGAAUGCUCAGAUAUUAGGAAGAACACCAGUGGCGAAGGCGACUUCCUGGCCUGUGCCUGACGCUGAGCGGCGAAAGCUAGGGUAGCGAACGGGCUUAGAUACCCCGGUAGUCCUAGCCCUAAACGUUGGAUACUGGGUAUUGGGGGUAUAGAUUCCCUCAGUGCCGAAGCUAACGCGUUAAGUAUCCCGCCUGGGGACUACGGCCGCAAGGUUAAAACUUAAAGGAAUUGACGG
rnacentral:rRNA from 1 species